UGGCCACGCUCCUACUCAGACUUACGUUUUCUGACUUGGAGUCCAGUGCUCCAGUCUCACGUUAUCCAUCAGCUGACCUUGCCACCAGCCUCAUACUCAACACGUCACAUGGUUUGAAGGCCAGGCCACUUGCCACUACUACUCAGCUGCCUUCUCUCUAGGAAAAUGCUUUUCUGGAUUGAGGGAGACAGUCAUAGAGAAAUGUGUUGUUGGCAUCAAUUUCCUAUGGUUGGGCAAUGGCUUCCGCCAUCUGGACCAGGUGACGUCAGCUGUCUGGACUUCUGCCAGCAUUCUCCCACCCAGGAAACACUUCCGGCUGUCUGGGCUCUGAGCCAUCUCUGGCCUCCUGGAUGCUCCAGGCUCAUCUGGCAUAUUUACAUUUCCUUGGCAGAAGAAUUUUGGUGGAUGAAGAAACUAAAGAAUAGCCAGGCCAGGCUCACUCCUGUUGGGAGGUUGAAGAUCUUUGUGACUAAGACUCAAGUUAAUUGGGGGUGA
rnacentral:lncRNA from 1 species